CUAAUACCGCAUAAUGCAGCGGAUCCGCAUGGAUAUGUUGUUAAAGUGGUCUCGACUUGUCGAGGUCACGCCUAAAGAUGGACCUGCAUCCCAUUAGCUAGUUGGUGAGGUAAUGGCCCACCAAGGCGACGAUGGGUAGCCGGCCUGAGAGGGUGUCCGGCCACACUGGGACUGAGAUACGGCCCAGACUCCUACGGGAGGCAGCAGUGAGGAAUAUUGGGCAAUGGCCGAAAGGCUGACCCAGCAACGCCGCGUGAGGGAUGAAGCUCCAAGGAGUGUAAACCUCUUUCGGGAGGGAAGAACCUUCUGAUGGUGAACAACCAUCGGAAUUGACGGUACCUCCUAAAGAAGCCCCGGCUAACUCCGUGCCAGCAGCCGCGGUAAUACGGGGGGGGCGAGCGUUGUCCGGAAUCAUUGGGCGUAAGGGCGCGUAGGCGGAGUAGUAAGUUGGAGGUGAAAAUCCUGGGCUUAACUCAGGACCUGCCUUCGAUACUGCUAUUCUUGAGUGCAGAAGAGGAAGC
rnacentral:rRNA from 1 species